rnacentral:rRNA from 1 species
GACGAACGCUGGCGGCGUGCCUAAUACAUGCAAGUCGAGCGAGCGGAACUAACAGAUUUACCUCGGUAAUGACGUUAGGAAAGCGAGCGGCGGAUGGGUGAGUAACACGUGGGGAACCUGCCCCAUAGUCUGGGAUACCACUUGGAAACAGGUGCUAAUACCGGAUAAGAAAGCAGAUCGCAUGAUCAGCUUUUAAAAGGCGGCGUAAGCUGUCGCUAUGGGAUGGCCCCGCGGUGCAUUAGCUAGUUGGUAAGGUAAAGGCUUACCAAGGCGAUGAUGCAUAGCCGAGUUGAGAGACUGAUCGGCCACAUUGGGACUGAGACACGGCCCAAACUCCUACGGGAGGCAGCAGUAGGGAAUCUUCCACAAUGGACGCAAGUCUGAUGGAGCAACGCCGCGUGAGUGAAGAAGGUUUUCGGAUCGUAAAGCUCUGUUGUUGGUGAAGAAGGAUAGAGGUAGUAACUAGCCUUUAUUUGACGGUAAUCAACCAGAAAGUCACGGCUAACUACGUG